rnacentral:lncRNA from 1 species
CCAUCAUCAGAGGUUGUCCCUUGGUGUCCUAGAUGUCUCUGUGCAUGUGGGCAGGGCCGGGGAGGCCUACGCUGAUGCCAGUUUCUUUUAGGCAUGGGCGCCCAGGCCAGGCCUCAUAGUGCUCUACAAGGCUUCGGUUAUACUAAGGAGAGCAGCCGGACAGGUAAGACACAGGACUCUUGGGUAGAGAGAUGUACAGAUUUACUCCCAGCACCCAGAAGGCAGAGACAGAUCUGUGAGUUUGAGGCCAGCCUGGUUCAGGAUGACCAGGACUACAUGGGAAAAAAAACAAAAACAAAAAAACCUGUCUCAAAGACCAAAAAAAAAGAAAAAAGAGUUUAUAUUCAUGUAGAGGUCAGGGCCAGAACUCAAUGGCAUCAAGAUCAUCUGUCCCCAAGUGUACCCAUGUGGACCCGUUUGUUACUUCCUGGAUGUGCUUGUUCCCCUGUGCUGUUUCCUCUGCCCAGCUGAGAGGAAGGUUUGGCAAGAGUGGCCAGGUUUACUUGAUGGCCAGGAAGGAGAAGCUAGACUUAAAUCCAGCUGGCCUUGGCCUUUGGUACUGCUUGAGGAGCAAGGAUCCAACCAUGACAGGAACCUGGAGGGCCAUCUGUGCCGGUGGUAACAGCGUGGUACGUGUGGGUCCUACUCGUCAGAUACUUGUAGCUUGUCUGUUGAAGGUGUAUCUGACAGCACAGAAUGGAGCAAGCCAUCUCAGCUAUCCUUGGGGCUGUAUACGGAGCCCCCUGACCAUCCUUGCCUGCGUGUUUGUACCCCUUGACUGAAGGGACAAGGACAUUUUGACUACCCAGGGCAGCCCUCGUAGAACAUCCCUUGCCAGAACUGAUUGCUCUAAGCCAAGAGUCCAGACCAGAGUGCAGCUGCUGUGCUCCACCUGAAGCACGUGUCUGUCUGUACCUCCGUAGCUCUGAGCAGACAGUUGCCCUGGCCCUCCUGGAGCAUGCAGUCGGGGUUGGGAAGGAGGCUGGGGUGCUGAUGCCACUUCCUCUGUGUACAGGCUCUGCAGGUGAAACCUUCCUCUCCACCAUCCAGAGGGCCGCAGAGGUAGUGGUGAAUGCUGUGCGUCCUGGGCCUGAUAAUCCUUGUACCAAGGGACCCCUGCCAC